rnacentral:lncRNA from 1 species
GGGGCUCCAGUUGUUUAUAUAGAAGGCUGUCAAAUAGCUGGUUGCACAGCUGUGAGAUCGUACGAUCUCAAAAUUGCAAGGCCAUUGGAUAUAUCAUUGUAGACGAGAUAAUCCAACCCUUAAUCGCUCCUGCGAGAUUAGAGGAGUCAGUUACGCCAGAGCCUAUUCAUUCGGGGUGAAUAGCUAUUGCGUACAUUGAGAAAAUAAGUUGAUCGAGGCAGUAGGGGUGGCUCGUAUGCUAAACAGACC